rnacentral:tRNA from 1 species
GGUCCCGUAGCUCAACUGGAUAGAGCGACAGCCUUCUAAGCUGUAGGUCGGAGGUUCGAGCCCUCCCGGGAUCA